CAGCAGUGGGGAAUAUUGCACAAUGGGCGCAAGCCUGAUGCAGCCAUGCCGCGUGUAUGAAGAAGGCCUUCGGGUUGUAAAGUACUUUCAGCAGUGAGGAAGGUGGGUAUGUUAAUAGCAUAUUCAUUUGACGUUAGCUGCAGAAGAAGCACCGGCUAACUCCGUGCCAGCAGCCGCGGUAAUACGGAGGGUGCGAGCGUUAAUCGGAAUUACUGGGCGUAAAGCGCAUGCAGGUGGUUUGUUAAGUCAGAUGUGAAAGCCCGGGGCUCAACCUCGGAAUUGCAUUUGAAACUGGCAAACUAGAGUACUGUAGAGGGGGUAGAAUUUCAGGUGUAGCGGUGAAAUGCGUAGAGAUCUGAAGGAAUACCGGUGGCGAAGGCGGCCCCCCUGGACAGAUACUGACACUCAGAUGCGAAAGCGUGGGGAGCAAACAGGAUUAGAUACCCUGGUAG
rnacentral:rRNA from 1 species